GCUGAAAGAGAAGGUCAACAACCUCACAAAAGCAAAUGCUAAACUUUUGGCAAGAAAUAAGCGGCUGCAUUUGGCCCUUGAGAAUCUGAGAAACUUGCCUGAUUUACUGGAUGUGGUAAAAAAGUUAAAAGCUGCACCAUGCUCUUCACAGCAUGCCUCUCCUGCACAUGCGUCCACUUCAUCUUCUGCUGCUUGUUCACCAGCUCAUUCCGAAGACACAAGUGGCGAGGACAUGGUAACUUUGUGGCCAGGGGUGGCCAUAACAGU